UUUAUUGUUAAUGCAUGGAAUGCAGGCAUUUGCAAAGAAGUACAAACUUCCAUUUACAUUGUUGAGUGAUGAGGGUAACAAGGUGAGGAAAGAAGUACAAACUCCUCUUGAUUUUUUAAUUUUUGUUUAUUUUUAUUUGAUAGUAACAAGUUGUUGCUUCAGAUUUAAUGACUAUAGACUAUAGAUAUUUGUAUACUCUAUCUGUUUGUUGAUGUUACACAACCAGUUAACAGUUGAAUCUAUCCUAAUUCUUAAGUCAUGCAUCAUGAUUAUUACCAACAAGGCAUUGGUGAGCUACUGCCAAAGUUCCUAUAUUAAGCACUAUAUUCAAUUCAUGUGCAGGAGGACUCAUGUUCAAGCUACCUCAAAGCAAUCUACAAUUUGUGACAUCCAUAACAUUCCUCCUUACAACCUAUUCCAAGUAUAUGGCAGCUAAAAAGUACACAUUUAACUGCGGCAAUGUUUUAGGCACUCCAAACACCUUAAGAAGCGUAACGAAAAGACAGGUAAGCCUCAUUAUUUCGUCCUUUCGGAGUUCAAUUUACCAUGUUUUUGUCUUCAUUUGGUUCUCAGGAAACAGUAUGUCUUGAAAAGUGAGGUUCCAGGCUAAUGUCUAAGAUCUAGGUGCAAUCCAUUGACCAAAGUAAAUCGGUGAUGAACUUUGAUCUUAUUAGUACUUCAGUUUUGCAGUUUUGGCAAGUUACCCACAAAUUAAAAAGAUCUUUUCUUUCUAAGAGUUCCAUAUCUAAGUUUGAUUGGUGGUUCAUGGUGGGGAUCUUGAUGGUUAAAGGAAAUGUGUGUUCUUUUUUUUUCUUCUACCCCCUUACUUACAUGUCUUCUUUCUUGAUUUUGAUUGUUUGGUUACAGGACUUCUCAUUCUCAAGAAAUCCAGCAGGGGUCAAUCAAGGACUACAUUUGAACCAAGUUACAACAAGAAAGCUGAUUUUGAAAAUAUCCUCUGCAAGAUGGAUACACAUAGGAGACUUUACAAGACUACAAAAAAGAGGUGGAGAGAGAUGGAUCGUAUUGAUUGAUGAUGAAAAGAGAUAAUUCCAAAAGAGAACAACGUCAUGUCCAAAGCAGUAUCAUAAUCUUGAAGGUGCGGUAGGGGAGGUCAAGCAGCACGUUGCGUUAUGGAAGGGUAAGUGAAACUAUGCUAAUUUUCCAUAUAAGGUUCAGUUUGUCACUAAAAUUGAAAGUCGUGGUGCUGUCAAGUUAUUUGCACACCAUAAAUGUGAAUCUAUGCUACAUUAUAUGAAUGUCAUGGACUGUGACCAGUUAGAUUGUUCAUUUAAACCUUGCUAUAUUCCUUAACUCCACGGACCUGAAGGGUUGUUACAAUAGCAUACAAAGAACCAGAAUUUUGAAGUCAUGAAUCAUGACGAGACAAUGUGUGUUUCAAAGGAAGAGGUUCUUAUUUGAAGAGAAUUCAAGCAAAAACUAUAGGAAGAAAAUAGUUUUAGAAAAUGGUUGGAGUUCAGCGCAUGGGAGA